rnacentral:lncRNA from 1 species
CAAACCAGACAAUAGUUGGCAAAAGCGCGUGACAAACCUCCGUGGAAGCAUAGAUACAACCUCGCAGGCGUGGAGGGGGGGAGUACUGGUGAGAGAGGAUCGUACAUCCAGGGACACCACCAGAAAUCCACAUCCCAGCACGCAAAGAGGGGGGGAAUACUGAUAGUACAGGGUCCGACACACAGACCAUAAUACUAAAAGACGUAUCCC